rnacentral:misc_RNA from 1 species
GAUGAAGAACGUAGCGAAAUGCGAUAAGUAAUGUGAAUUGCAGAAUUCAGUGAAUCAUCGAAUCUUUGAACGCACAUUGCGCCCGCCAGUAUUCUGGCGGGCAUGCCUGUCUGAGCGUCAUUUCAACCCUCAUGCCCCUAGGGCGUGGUGUUGGGGAUCGGCCAAAGCCCGCGAGGGACGGCCGGCCCCUAAAUCUAGUGGCGGACCCGUCGUGGCCUCCUCUGCGAAGUAGUGAUAUUCCGCAUCGGACAGCGAUGAGCCCCUGCCGUUAACCCCCAACUUUCCAAGGUUGACCUCAGAUCAGGUAGGAAUACCCGCUGAACUUAAGCAUAUCAAUAAGCGGAGGA